UACGUAGGGCGCAAGCGUUGUCCGGAUUCACUGGGUGUAAAGGGUGCGUAGGCGGGCAGGUAAGUCAGUGGUGAAAUCUUCGAGCUUAACUCGGAAACUGCCUUUGAUACUAUCUGUCUUGAAUAUUGUGGAGGUAAGCGGAAUAUGUCAUGUAGCGGUGAAAUGCUUAGAUAUGACAUAGAACACCUAUUGCGAAGGCAGCUUACUACGCAUAUAUUGACGCUGAGGCACGAAAGCGUGGGGAUCAAACAGG
rnacentral:rRNA from 1 species